UACGUAGGUGACUAGCGUUGUCCGGAUUUACUGGGCGUAAAGAGCGCGCAGGCGGUCGUUCAAGUCGAGUGUGAAAGCCCCCGGCUCAACUGGGGAGGGUCACUUGAUACUGAUCGACUCGAAGGCAGGAGAGGGAAGCGGAAUUCCCGGUGUAGUGGUGAAAUGCGUAGAUAUCGGGAGGAACACCAGUGGCGAAGGCGGCUUCCUGGCCUGUUCUUGACGCUGAGGCGCGAAAGCUAGGGGAGCGAACGGG
rnacentral:rRNA from 1 species